rnacentral:lncRNA from 1 species
GUAGUGAUUGUAUCAGUGUCACCCAACUCCUCUAACACUGAAAUUUUUUAUUUGAACUUGGCAGGUAAGCUUACCAAAAUAUGUUAUACUGUGCGAUUGGAUGGAUAAGAUCAAUCGUGAUGAACAGUCCAAAUCGACGCGGGAUGGGUAUAAAUACCUUAUGUCACAUAGGAACCCAAACCCUAGCCACUAGCCCCCGCCGGAGAAGAAAAAUCAGGCACCAGAUAAGAAGGCCGACCGUCGACUGCAGCCGCAUCAGAGCCAACGCAGGAAGUCAAAAAAGAUAAUAAUUCUCCUUACCCACUCAAAAUUCGAUUUCGAGCAUCUCUAUGGCAAAAUCGAAACCAGAGGAAUAGUGGGUGAGCUGAAAACCGCGGGGAAAGUCCAGCAGAGCCACUACGGCCAAAACUCAAAAUUCCCUCCAAUGAGCCCUUUCUCACUUCUCGUUUCACGCAAUUUUCCAUUUAAUGUGUUCACCGUUCUCUUCUGUGCAUAUUAGCUAAAGAAAGAAUCUCAUCU